AAGAUGGAAGACGAUGAUCUGGCCGCAUACAUCUUGGCCGGGCUGGACGCGGAGUGGAAUCCGCUCGUGACGGCCAUGAUCACCAGGACCGACACGGUCUCCCUCUCCGAGUUGUACGCGCAUCUGCUGAACUUCGAGA